GGAAACGUCGCUGGCGCGGAGGGAUGGUUCGGCGCUUUAGGCGUCUGUCACAGACCUAUCUGCGGGUCGCCUUCACCCAGCAUCUCAGAAACUGCGCGCGGGAUGAACAUUCGGGUGUUUCCGGCAGGUGACGCUGCCGAGUCCCCGCAGCAGGGGGCGAGCAAGGGACUCGCGGUUGACGGGACACGGAUCCUCUAAGGCCCAGAGUGUCCCGAGUAGCGGCAGUGGGGAGUGCUCAGGGUACGCUAAUGAUCUGUGUCUUGUAAAGAGCAUAUUGCUGGGCUUACAUCCGUUUAUCUUGUUUGACUGUUAUUUUAAUAGCUUGGUGUUCUCAAGAGUCUGCCCUUUCCGAGGAAGAAGAGGAUACAACCAGGCCUCUUAGAUGGAGUCUCACUAUGUUACCAAGGCUGUUCUCGAACUCCUGGCCUCAAGCAGUCCUCCUGCCUCAGCCUCCCAAAGUGCUACGAUUAUAGGAAACAGUGACAUUUAAGGAUGUGGCUGUUGACCUUACCCAGGAGGAGUGGGAGCAAAUGAAACCUGCUCAAAGAAACU
rnacentral:lncRNA from 1 species